AUAUUACUAAGGGGAGGAAAAUAAACUAACAAGGAUUCCCCUAGUAACGGCGAGUGAAGCGGGAAGAGCUCAAAAUUGAAUCCGUGGGUGUAGCAACUCAUGGAGAUGUAGUCUGGAGACGCUCUCUCAGUGCGAGACCGGUUAUAAGUCCCUUAGAAUGGGGCAUCAUAGAGGGUGAGAAUCCCGUUUAUGAGCUGGAUCUGUGCGUACGGAGGAGCGUUCCGAGAGUCGCGUUGCUUGGGAGUGCAGCGCGAAAUCGGUGGUAAAAUUCAUCUAAAGCUAAAUACCGGCGAGAGACCGAUAGCGCACAAGUA
rnacentral:rRNA from 1 species